rnacentral:rRNA from 1 species
AUUGAACGCUGGCGGCAUGCUUUACACAUGCAAGUCGAACGGUAACAGGCCUUCGGGUGCUGACGAGUGGCGAACGGGUGAGUAAUGCAUCGGAACGUGCCCAAUCGUGGGGGAUAACGUAGCGAAAGUUACGCUAAUACCGCAUAAGCCCUGAGGGGGAAAGCAGGGGAUCGCAAGACCUUGCGCGAAUGGAGCGGCCGAUGUCAGAUUAGCUAGUUGGUGGGGUAAAGGCCUACCAAGGCGACGAUCUGUAGCGGGUCUGAGAGGAUGAUCCGCCACACUGGGACUGAGACACGGCCCAGACUCCUACGGGAGGCAGCAGUGGGGAAUUUUGGACAAUGGGCGCAAGCCUGAUCCAGCCAUGCCGCGUGCGGACGAA